CGGGAAUUUUCCGCAAUGGGCGCAAGCCUGACGGAGCAACGCCGCGUGAGUGAGGACGGCCUUCGGGUUGUAAAACUCUGUUCUUGAGGAAGAACCCUUCCGAGGCGAACAGCCUCGGAAGUUGACGGUACUCAAGGAGAAAGCCCCGGCUAACUACGUGCCAGCAGCCGCGGUAAUACGUAGGGGGCGAGCGUUAUCCGGAAUUAUUGGGCGUAAAGCGCGCGCAGGCGGCCGAUUAAGUCAGGUGUGAAAGGCUGCGGCUCAACCGCAGAGCGGCACCUGAAACUGGUCGGCUUGAGUGCAGGAGAGGGGAGUGGAAUUCCCGGUGUAGCGGUGGAAUGCGUAGAGAUCGGGAGGAACACCAGUGGCGAAGGCGGCUCUCUGGCCUGUAACUGACGCUGAGGCGCGAAAGCGUGGGGAGCAAAC
rnacentral:rRNA from 1 species